GGAUGAAUAGCUCAAUGGCAGAGUUCCGCCAUUGGCAGGAUUAAGCCGGGGGUUGAAAGUUCGAGCCUUUUUUCGUCCG
rnacentral:tRNA from 2 species